CGCGUAGGUGGGAAAGGCAGUCAGAUGUGAAAUCCCGAAGCUCAACUUCGGAACUGCAUCUGAAACUCCUUUUCUUGAGGGUAGGCGGAGAAAAUAGAAUUCCACAAGUAGCGGUGAAAUGCGUAGAUAUGUGGAAGAAUACCUGUGGCGAAAGCGAUUUUCUAGCUUAUUCCUGACACUGAGGCGCGAAAGCAAGGGGAUCAAACA
rnacentral:rRNA from 1 species